UUGGAGGUGCUGCUUGGUGGAAGGAAGAUUGAGGUGAGAGAAAUGGGAGUGGAUUAGCGAAGAUUAAGUAACAGGAUAGAAGAUCAGACAGGAAGUGAAAGUCAAAUCAUACAGGGCCUGUGGGCCACUAUCAGGAUUUUGCCUUUACUCCAAGUGAGGUGAGAGCCUUUCACGUGUUUUGGUUUGGUUUGGUUGUUUUUAUUGAAGUUGAGUUGACCUACCAUGUCAGAUUAGUUUCAGGUGUUCAACAUAGUAAUUUGACAUUUAAUGCAUUAUAAAAAGCUCACCACAAUAAGUGUAGUCACCAUCUGUCACCAUACAAAGUUAUUAAAAUAUUACUAUAUUGCCUAUGCUAUACUUUAUAUCCCCAUGACUUAAGCCAUUGGUGUGCUUUAAGCUGAGGAGUUCAGUGUUGUAACUGUCAUUUAAGUGGCUAUAUCGGGAAGAGACUGAAGAGGUCAAAGGUGGAAGCUGGGAGGUCAGGAGAUCCUUGCAAGAAUUCAUGAGACAGAUGAUGAUGGCUUGGCCUAGGGCAGUGUAUGUAUAUGUACUUACUCCUGGCCCCUUGUCUUUCCACACAGAGUGGAUGACUAUGUGCAUACCUUACAGCUCUAUUGGAAAGUUUUUCCCUCUUUAAGGUCUUCUAAGGCCACCCUUAAAUAUGGCUGUAAUGUAGCUGUCACCCAUUCUUUCACCCACAAACUGAGCCAACCCAUAUGUAAACCAAGCUUGGACCUUUUCCUCUUUUUUCCAGCCAGUCCUACAGAACCCACCCUCCCCACGUAACCAUAUAUGAAGCACGGGAAAGGGGUGCUGGUGAAAUCCUGUUGGGUGACAUUGGGCUUCUGGGUGCCUUGCUCAUGCAGCUUACUCAUGCCCUCUGGUUCUGCUCAGAUGUACAUCCUGGAUGCACAAUUUACAUCUUAUGGAAGAGGUUUCUUCUGGAUCUAACUUUAUAACUUGAGAGAUAGAGAGUACAGGAAGGCAGAGAGGCAGGCAGAGGGAGAGGGAGAAGCAGGCUCUCCGCUGAGCAGGAAGCCGAUGUGGGGCUCGAUCCCAGAACCCUGGGAUCAUGACCUGAGCUGAAGGCAGACGCUCAACCGACUGAGCCACCCAGGCGCCCCGGAUCAUGGUUUUCUAUUGAGUUACAGAUGUUAACCACCAUUUGAGCUGCCUGUUUUGCCCUUAGGAUGCUACGUUCUAUGAACGUGUAAAGCCUCCUUUGCUGCUCCUCUGAUGUAGCUGGCCAUUAAGAUUUUAUUUAUUCGUCAGAGAAAGCACAAGCAGGAGGGAGCGGCAGGCAGAGGGAGAAGCAGGCUGCCCAUCGAGCAGGGAGCCCGAUGCGGGAGUCGAUCCCAGGACCCCGGGAUCAUGACCCGAGCCGAAGGCAGACGCUUAACCGCCUGAGCCGCCCAGGGGAUGAUAUUCUCAGAUAAUGUCUAAGACAGCUUCUUGGAGAACGGCAUCAUCAGUCGACGACGUAUAUCCUGCCAUCAGUGUUCUAAGUACUAAGGUUUAAACGUUUCAGGAAUACAAUUCUGGAAAUGAUCUACAGGGAGAAGAACGGGGAGUUUGAGGACUCGCUGAAGAGUACAUAAGCCCCCAGUGUUAGUGUGGGGCGCCCAGGAGCCUCGCCCUUCAUGAAAUGCCAGCAUUUCACCACAGCAGAAUGGCCGGCAGAAACCGUGGAAGUGAAUGCGGGUUUCCACAGAACGACUGCUAAACCCCUCUAAGAGGAAGCCGGUAUUUCUUCGGACAAUUCCCUCUGCCACACACACAGAUGGAAGCAAAGUGGGAGGUAAUAAGCAAUGAAAACAGCCGCUGGGACAAGCAAGCUUACUCGCUUCACAUAAAUACAAGCUCCGCUGUAUUUAACUCGUGGGGCAGUCUAGCAUCACUGGUAACAAUGGAUGAAACCACGGGCCAAAAUUCCAAGCCAGAGUGCAGUAUACAGAGAGGGUAAGUGCACUGCAGUGUUCUACCACAAAAAGAUACGCUGUGUGGUAACUUAGCAUUUACAGCACUUUUAGGGAAGGCCUGAGGGUAGAAGCUACAUUAGUCCCCAUUCUGUAGCAUCUGCCAUUCCCAGUCAGUAGGAUAAAAUUUCUGUGAAAUUUAGCGGCAUGCAAACUACUAUAGUAGUCUGAUGAGAUCCGACUAUUUUUGGUUAAGAAAGAACCUACUUUGUCAUAAAGUCCUAUCUAAGGAACCCCUUAUCCACCGGUGAGGCUUGAGAUCUCUCUGCCAAAGUUCUCUUCCUAGUAUCUUUAACUGAGUGGUUGACUUUUAUAGCAUGUUCGUUAGAACACCACUUAAAAAAAAAAAAUCCAUUACCACCCAGUUAAGGAAAGAAAUAAAGGUAAGACAUAAAACCAAAAGUAAAUACUAAAAAGGUAGGUCUAUAUCAAUUUCAAUAGCCAGCAACCAUCGAAGGAAAUAAUUUAUUUUAAAUACUGUCUUUAAAAAAGUGUUCAUGUUAAAAUUCAGCAUUAUAGGA